rnacentral:rRNA from 1 species
UACAGAGGUCUCAAGCGUUGUUCGGAAUCACUGGGCGUAAAGCGUGCGUAGGCUGUUUCGUAAGUCGUGUGUGAAAGGCGCGGGCUCAACCCGCGGACGGCACAUGAUACUGCGAGACUAGAGUAAUGGAGGGGGAACCGGAAUUCUCGGUGUAGCAGUGAAAUGCGUAGAUAUCAAGUGGAACACUCGUGGCGAAGGCGGGUUCCUGGACAUUAACUGACGCUGAGGCACGAAGGCCAGGGGAGCGAAAGGG